CAGCACCCUGUUUGACUUCUGAAUUUCCUACUGUAUCGUUGGGGCUAGAUUUCUCAGCCCCUCACAGUUGGGUUUUGGAUGCAGCUUAGGUUCUGCCAGUAGGAUCAGUUGGGUAAGAAGGUGGAGGCCAUUUUCUAGGAGGUGUUAUGGUUGGGGAGCAAGUCCCAGUGUAAGUCAUCAGCCUCUAGUCACCAGCUUCCUGAGUGCUGGCAUCCUUGAUAGUGGCAGAUGUGGUGGCAGUUAAGUGCAGCAGCCUGCCCCAACUUCUGCUCCUCCAACCCUUUCCACAGUUAUAUAAGCACCCAAAUUCCUGUACUAAAUAUUUUCUGGGUGUUGGGUGCACCAAACUCUCAAAUCACCACUAAAGAACUUACUCAUGUAACCAAACACCACCUGUUCCCC
rnacentral:lncRNA from 1 species